AGCCCAACCGAGCAGCUGGUGUUUCAGCGUAGCAGCAUGGUGUUGUGUGUUCUCUGCUCAACGCUUUCAGCAGACCGGCUGUAUUCUACAUAGUGCCCCUAGCUGCAAACUGUGGCAGAGCUUGGUUUGUGAGGGAGUAUCGGGGCAAUUGGAAGACCACGCCUACUGGGUAAGUAGGGGCACACACCUGGAUAUAAUUAUGAAUCAGUCCAUGGUUUAAAAGUACGUUUUCCCAGUUGGUGUCUGAGAUCGGGGAUGAAGUAUCCAUCCGAGAGAGCGUAAAUGAAUGGGAAGUGGGCUGAAAAGCUUUCGGUUUUUGUUAAAUUAUUUUGCUUUUGUUAUUUUAAUUUGUUGUUUUAGUUCAUUGUUUUUGCCUGGAACCCAUGAGGGGGAAGGGUGAAGGUGUUAGUUUAUUUUAUUUCGUGUUUGAGUUGGUGCGCGCUCUCUCCAUGCGGCAACCAAUAGUGUUUCCCGAAACUGCCACAUCUCCCUCCCAGGGGUGUCCUACUGGCGUGACACAGACGUUUCACCUUUGAAUUUGGGCCACAUAUGUAGAACAAAUACAGUCCCCAGGGUCUUCUGCAUUGGCCACAGGAAUCCCCAGAGCUCCUGAAUGAUGAAACAGGCUCCAGAGGAGACAGCUGGUGCAACUGACAGCAACAGACCUCUCCAUAAAGUACUGCGCCACAUCAGAUAGAGAAGUGGUGCUCACCUGAUCGAGCCGAAACCCUCGAAGGAGCAUCAGGAUACAGUGAGGAAUUGGGGAAGAUGAAGCUUGUGCCACCUGUCGACAAGAG